rnacentral:lncRNA from 1 species
CUACAGAGGAAGAGAACGAAAGGUCCUUUGGCAGAAUACCCUCUUAGACGUGGCAGUCGUGCUUUGAGCCUGACACAUGAGAAGGAACAGUUACAUGAAGAAGUCAAAGAAGAGCACUGCAGGCUCAGCCUUCAGCCUUCACUCUGCAGGGAGCCUGGUGGAUCAUCAUCUGGCUCCCUUGAGCUGCCAUGGGAGAGAGAAGUAGCAGAUCCAGUCCACUUUCAGACGUAGGCAGUAAGCUCCUAUCAGCGUGGAAAUGGGAUGGGGCACUGUCCUAGAGCCUGGAUGCUGAGGAAGAGGGCCCACACUGAGUGCCGCUGGGGUGCUGGCCUGCUACCCACUGCAGGGAUGAGCUCCCAAAACGUGCCUCCCCAGGGAGUCCCUCCAGGGAUACUGGAAUAUGUGGUCUGGGAGAUAAGAUUAGCCUGUAUGGAACCUAAAACAGUACACCUGAAGUACAGUACACGGCACAUAUGUUGUUUUGCAGUGACUGAUAAAAUGGAUAAUUUCUGAAGAUGUCUGGAAAAGAAAGAUUUAAAACAAUUGAGAAGACACAGAAAAAGUACUGGCCUGACAUGGACUUGGUAAGAUGGAUACUCCUUAUUACAUAUUGCCUGGUUAUCAC